GACGAACGCUGGCGGCGUGCUUAACACAUGCAAGUCGAACGGAAAGGCCCUGCUUUUGUGGGGUGCUCGAGUGGCGAACGGGUGAGUAACACGUGAGUAACCUGCCCUUGACUUUGGGAUAACUUCAGGAAACUGGGGCUAAUACCGGAUAGGAGCUCCUGCUGCUUGGUGGGGGUUGGAAAGUUUCGGCGGUUGGGGAUGGACUCGCGGCUUAUCAGCUUGUUGGUGGGGUAGUGGCUUACCAAGGCUUUGACGGGUAGCCGGCCUGAGAGGGUGACCGGCCACAUUGGGACUGAGAUACGGCCCAGACUCCUACGGGAGGCAGCAGUGGGGAAUAUUGCGCAAUGGGCGGAAGCCCGAUGCAGCAACGCCGCGUGCGGGAUGACGGCCUUCGGGUUGUAAACCGCUUUCGCCUGUGACGAAGCGUGAGUGACGGUAAUGGGUAAAGAAGCACCGGCUAACUACGUG
rnacentral:rRNA from 1 species